UACGGGGGGAGCAAGCGUUGUUCGGAUUUACUGGGCGUAAAGGGCGCGUAGGCGGCCAGCACAGGUCAGUUGUGAAAUCUCCGAGCUUAACUCGGAAAGGUCAACUGAUACUGUGCGGCUAGAGUGCGGAAGGGGCAACUGGAAUUCUUGGUGUAGCGGUGAAAUGCGUAGAUAUCAAGAGGAACACCUGCGGCGAAGGCGGGUUGCUGGGCCGACACUGACGCUGAGGCGCGAAAGCCAGGGGAGCGAACGGG
rnacentral:rRNA from 1 species